AUAUCGGACACCCAAGAACUCA
rnacentral:misc_RNA from 1 species